rnacentral:lncRNA from 1 species
AUUAACUUUUAACCAACUGUAUUUCUUUUACUGUGAACUAUCUCUUCCAGUCAUUUCAUGGGUUGUAUUUUAAGAUCAAAGCUGAGCACCAUGAGAACACCAUUGUACCAGCUUGUUUGUCCAAAAGACAACAGAACUUCAAAGCCAUGAGGUGCCUGCCUUUCUUCCAAUCAAGUGGACUCUACUAGUCAUCCGUAGAGAUGCACAAGCUUGGAGCAUUUCCUUGUAUUUAAGCUGAGGAAAGGGAGAAUAUCCCCAGCCCCAUUUCAAGCUGUCAUCAUGAACAGUAGUGGAGGAGUGGAUUUGCCAAACAGCUGUCAGAGCUGACACCAGGCAGUGUCAGCAGUGGGGCUGGAGCUAACCCUUGGUGGAGCGACUUUCCUCUUGCUCAAUUCCUGGGUUCCCUCCUACUGUUCUGAACCAAUGACGCAGAUGGCAAGUGAAACAGAUCAGCAAAGAGGCCCAAAGAAGCAAAGAAACUUGCCCAGGAUCACACAAAUCAGCAGGAGGAGCUGGGAUUUGCACACAUUUUCUUAGGGCCAUGAAAGAGCCAACCUAGAGGUCAAGCUAGCAUGCUAAGUGUGACAGUGAAGAAUGGUGGAAAGAAUAUGACUUGGUGAUGCUGGUUUGAACACCGAAUUAGUCCCCUUGGGAACACUCCAUCAUACAUCCCAUGUCAGGGAAAUGCUGCUUUGGAAAAUACUCCCAGGGUUCUCACUUGCACCAAGUAAUAAAACUCUUACUGAUGAUUGAUGAAAACCUGUGUUCUCGUGGAGAGUCUUUUGUUACUUGCCAGGUGAGUGAACUCCAGUUUUUUGUUUUUGUGUUUUUCUUUUUUCUGGGUGACAUAGGCUUUGCUGUUAUCCUCAUUUAGCAGAUGAAGAAACUCAGACUUGGAAAGAUUAAGUCAUGUAUUAUCCCAUGGCAAUAAGCAACAGAACUAUGACUUGCCCUUAGAUCUGCAAGAGCUUACUCUUGGCAUAUAGCCCACAUCUAGCAGGGGCUCAAAAAAGGUAUGUUGAACUGGACACAAUGUGCUUCACCAGCUCUCAGCUGGGUGACCCCUUUGUAGAGAUGCUGAAUAUCUUCCCUGAAUAUGGUAUUGUCUCCCUUGAGGAUGCCAAUUCUUCAAAUGGCUUGACAAACUCACGUGGGUGUGCCAGAAGGCUAGCUGCUCAGACCUCCCCAUGGAGGUGUAAAUAUUUUAGUCAGUGGCAGGAAUAGUACUAUGAAUAGUCUUAUACCCAUGAAUAAUGCAAUCCCCUUCCUUUUCUCAACCAAAUGACUUUAGGACAUAUGGGGCCGAGAACAUGAUGCAGAUAUGAGGCUGGAUUAUGUACAUCAUUAGCCCACCUCCUAUGGUGAUGGAAUUUGUCACCCCCACAAGCGCUUUUCCAUUUGCUUUCAGAGGCUCAUCCUUGGUCUUACAUGAUGGAUUUGCUUUUCAGUUAUGGAGGACAGUGCCCUGGACUGGGCAUACUUCUCAGGGUAAACCUUGUUUCUUAAUGUGACUUCUUUUAAUGUUUUUACAUUGGAAGGGGGCCAGGGCUGGAUUUUUUUUCUUUCAGGGACCACAGGUUCUGACUUCAGGAGCCCAAGGAGAGCUCCUCCUGCCAGCAGCAGUAUUGUUCUUGGCCAAAUUUGGGUCUAGUGGAGAGUUUGAGAGAAGUUUGCAGAAUGGAUGGGGCAGAACAUGGGGGCCCAAGGCCCUUAGUACAGAGUGUUGGGGCUGGUAGCUGAGUAAUGAAAAGGCAUAGGUGGUGAGAUGGGAAGCCAACUCCUUAUUUUUAUAAUUAAAAAGUAUAUAAUUUAAAAUUAUAAAAGUAUGCUUAUUUUUACCUAUCUUGACUCUCCCUGCCACAUCUUUAUACUGUGGAUUUGAUUGCAAAAUGUGGCAUCUCUUAAUGUAAGAACCACAAUAAUAUCUUGCACAGAUUCCAUUCCCACUGAUCAUCUGGAAUGGUCUUCAUGGAAGCCCUGAGGUAAGCAGGGAUGGGGUGCUGACCUUGAUCCACAGGAGAUGAGGAUUCUGAGAGUCAGGGAAGUUAGGGGGCUUGCCCGAGGCUCUGCAGCAAGCAAAUAAUAGACAAGUGUUCAAAGGGAAGUGCUUGGACUCCCAGUUCAAUAUUGCUCAUUUUUUCUUUAAAAAGGUGAGUACAGGUGUGGAUGUUCCCCCCUCCCCCAACCCUGCCUCCUGCUUUAUGAGCUCUCUGCAACUGGCACCAGGUGCCCACACUAACUCACCUCACCCUCUUUCCUGUUCUGCCCCCAAGCCUCAGUCUGGGAUUUUGAAGCUGUUGUGUUGCCUCCAUUCCAGAAAGCUUGGCCCACCAGCCCCAAGAUAGCAAGCUUGGUUGAAUCUUCCUCAAGGAGAAACACUUCCCCUCCAUGUUCUGAUCUGCAGAGUGGUGGAUGCUGCUUUUCUGCAGGCACAAUGGACAGAAAUGUAGGAUACUUGAUGAGCACCUCUUGAUAAAAGUGAGAGCUCCACUUGGAAAACAGAGUGAUGAGGAGGAUUCAGAUCUGCUUACUCUGAUCCGUAAGUGUGAGUUGAAAAAUGAAUGACCGGGAAAGUCUGUGGCUUACUCAGUGAGCUCCUGAAAAGACACUGCUUUGUAACUCUGCUAGAGAUGCCUCCCAAGGGAAGGGGCCAAUUACAAUCAUUGCAGCCUCAUUCUAGAAAGUUGGUGACCAGUGCACAUAUGGGUGUGCUGGAAGGUCAAUGCUGGUUUGGUCUCAGCCUCCCCUCCUAGCUGGGAACAGUUGUCCAGAUGUCAUGUGUAUCUCUGGAGGGACUUGCUCAGUUAGCUUGAAAAAACAGACUCACUAAUUGUGCUGCCCUCUGUUGUAA